AGUGAACGCUGGCGGUAGGCCUAACACAUGCCAGUCGAACGGCAGCACAGUAAGAGCUUGCUCUUACGGGUGGCGAGUGGCGGACGGGUGAGGAAUACAUCGGAAUCUACUUUUUCGUGGGGGAUAACGUAGGGAAACUUACGCUAAUACCGCAUACGACCUACGGGUGAAAGCAGGGGAUCUUCGGACCUUGCGCGAUUGAAUGAGCCGAUGUCGGAUUAGCUAGUUGGCGGGGUAAAGGCCCACCAAGGCGACGAUCCGUAGCUGGUCUGAGAGGAUGAUCAGCCACACUGGAACUGAGACACGGUCCAGACUCCUACGGGAGGCAGCAGUGGGGAAUAUUGGACAAUGGGCGCAAGCCUGAUCCAGUCAUACCGCGUGGGUGAAGAAGGCCUUCGGGUUGUAAAGCCCUUUUGUUGGGAAAGAAAAGCAGCAGGUUAAUACCCCGCUGUUCUGACGGUACCCAAAGAAUAAGCACCGGCUAACUUCGUG
rnacentral:rRNA from 1 species